CAGUAGCCGCGGGAAUACGAAGGUCCCGAGCGUUGUUCGGAAUCACUGGGCGUAAAGGGAGCGUAGGCGGCGUGGUAAGUCAGAUGUGAAAUCCCGGGGCUCAACCCCGGAACUGCAUCCGAUACUGCCGUGCUAGAGGAUUGGAGAGGUAGCUGGAAUUCUUGGUGUAGCAGUGAAAUGCGUGGAGAUCAAGAGGAACACUCGUGGCGAAAGCGAGCUACUGGACAAUAUCUGACGCUGAGGCUCGAAGGCCAGGGUAGCGAAAGGGAUUAGAUACCCCAGUAGUCCCUGUCUCUUAUAA
rnacentral:rRNA from 1 species